CUGAGAUUUCUCAUCUCAGUGUUAGAUCACUUUGUGUAUUACUCCCUAUCGAUGUAUGCAUCGCUUUUUGCUCGUGAUUGAGAAAAAUGCAUCAAAAUAACAUACAAAGCAUACAAUGCAACCUGUAACGAAGUACAAAUGACAGUGUUUUAUUGGACAUUGAAACUGAACACAAAGAGAGAAAGGUGUAAAACACAAAGAGAGAACAAAGGAACUUAAAUCCUCACACCAGCAGCAGGUGGCCAGUUCUUCAGCUGAAGACAUAUCCAGAACUAACUGCUAACAAGCUGGAAGCCUGCGGCUGGGAUGGAUCUCCAUAAUGUCACAGGGAGGGGCAGGGCUGUUACCAUGGGGAGGUACUGUCGCAGAUCUGCAAUCAGCUUAUCACGACCAUAAGAGUCCAAGCCUUCCAGCACCACAGAGGGAACGUAAACCAUGUCUCCUCCAGUCACAUGAUAAGCAACUGUCAUGUUGGGCGAGCCAAAUACUGUCUCCACCUGAGAGGGAAAGGAGAGAAGAGAAUGAGACAUCUUCAGGAAGCAUUUGCUCCUUUUGCAUCUUCCUAACACAUCUUUUUAAAGAUUCACUGGGGGGCUUUUUUUGCCUUUAUUGAUAGGAUAGCUGAAGACUGAUGGGAAAUGUGGGCAGAGGCCAGGAAUCGUAACAGCCACAGAUGUAUAGUGGACUGUAGCCUCUGUACUUCAUGACAGCUCACGGUGGCACUGAUAACAUGAAUGAGGAUUAUGUGAACUGAAGCUGAUUUCCAUUGUAUCCUAUCAUAUCGUAUCGCAACAUAUUGCAUCGGAUUGUUUUGUAUCCUAUGUAUCUUAUCAUAAAGCAUCGUAUCGUAUCAUAUGGUAUUGUAUCAUAUUGUACCGUAUUGUAUCGCAUGACAUUGUACCACUAAUCAUUAACGCUGUUAAUCCCACACAUAAAUGUUAACAUAAUG